ACUCAAGAUUCUAGUUUAAAGUUUGUGAACCACUGAAUUUUUUUGAAAGCAAUCAACAAAAAGAAGGUGAUCAUAAGGAGAGCUGUCUUCAAUGUUACCUGACUCAGUCAAGACUACACGGCUGAGUUAAGAAAAUUACUAGCUCUUUUUAUCUUCCUACACAGCAGAGAAUAUGAAGGUAUCUCCAAGAAUUUGGUGGUAAAGCUAAACUACUAUCACCUUCCAGAAAAGAUUGUCUCAAUGACUGUUGUCAACUCAACCAAACACUGAAGGAAAGCCAGUAUCAACUUUGUUUUGCUACCUGUUGUGCUGAACUUUAAAGCACUUCACAGACCCACAUUUGUACAACUCUUCUAAUUAUUUCAAUAACAAAUGUGUGUUUAGAAAUAA